rnacentral:rRNA from 1 species
UGCUCUCCGGAUCAGUGGCGAACGGGUGAGUAACACGUGAGCAAUCUGCCCCUGACUCUGGGAUAAGCGCUGGAAACGGCGUCUAAUACCGGAUACGAGCUGCGAAGGCAUCUUCAGCAGCUGGAAAGAACUUCGGUCAGGGAUGAGCUCGCGGCCUAUCAGCUAGUUGGUGAGGUAAUGGCUCACCAAGGCGUCGACGGGUAGCCGGCCUGAGAGGGUGACCGGCCACACUGGGACUGAGACACGGCCCAGACUCCUACGGGAGGCAGCAGUGGGGAAUAUUGCACAAUGGGCGCAAGCCUGAUGCAGCAACGCCGCGUGAGGGACGACGGCCUUCGGGUUGUAAACCUCUUUUAGCAGGGAAGAAGCGAAAGUGACGGUACCUGCAGAAAAAGCGCCGGCUAACUACGUGCCAGCAGCCGCGGUAAUACGUAGGGCGCAAGCGUUAUCCGGAAUUAUUGGGCGUAAAGAGCUCGUAGGCGGUUUGUCGCGUCUGCUGUGAAAACCCGAGGCUCAACCUCGGGCCUGCAGUGGGUACGGGCAGACUAGAGUGCGGUAGGGGAGAUUGGAAUUCCUGGUGUAGCGGUGGAAUGCGCAGAUAUCAGGAGGAACACCGAUGGCGAAGGCAGAUCUCUGGGCCGUAACUGACGCUGAGGAGCGAAAGGGUGGGGAGCAAACAGGCUUAGAUACCCUGGUAGUCCACCCCGUAAACGUUGGGAACUAGUUGUGGGGUCCAUUCCACGGAUUCCGUGACGCAGCUAA